rnacentral:rRNA from 1 species
UAGGGAAUCUUCCGCAAUGGGCGAAAGCUUGACGGAGCAACGCCGCGUGAGUGAUGAAGGUCUUCGGAUCGUAAAACUCUGUUAUUAGGGAAGAACAAAUGUGUAAGUAACUAUGCACGUCUUGACGGUACCUAAUCAGAAAGCCACGGCUAACUACGUGCCAGCAGCCGCGGUAAUACGUAGGUGGCAAGCGUUAUCCGGAAUUAUUGGGCGUAAAGCGCGCGUAGGCGGUUUUUUAAGUCUGAUGUGAAAGCCCACGGCUCAACCGUGGAGGGUCAUUAGAAACUGGAAAACUUGAGUGCAGAAGAGGAAAGUGGAAUUCCAUGUGUAGCGGUGAAAUGCGCAGAGAUAUGGAGGAACACCAGUGGCGAAGGCGACUUUCUGGUCUGUAACUGACGCUGAUGUGCGAAAGCGUGGGGAUCAAACAGG